rnacentral:tRNA from 1 species
CGCCCGUCAGGCGGGUGACGAUUCCCUGCUGCGUGCGGCGCGGCAGGCAGCGCACGCGGCCGCCGCGGUUCCAGACCUCGACGGUCGU